CCAAUAGCGUAUAUUAAAGUUGUUGCAGUUAAAAAGCUCGUAGUUGAAUUUCGGGGUCAGUAGGUUGGUCGUGCCACUGGUAUGCACUGGCCUUACUGAUUCCUCCUUCUUGAAGAACUGUGAUGUCAUUUACUUGGUGUUGCAGGGAAACAGGACUGUUACUUUGAAAAAAUUAGAGUGUUUAAAGCAGGCUAACGCUUGAAUAUAUUAGCAUGGAAUAAUGAAAUAGGACGUUUGAUCCUAUUUUGUUGGUUUCUAGGAUUGACGUAAUGAUUAAUAGGGAUAGUUGGUGCAUUAGUAUUCAAUUGUCAGAGGUGAAAUUCUUGGAUUUAUUGAAGACUAACUACUGCGAAAGCAUUUGCCAAGGAUGUUUUCAUUAAUCAAGAACGAAAGUUAGGGGAUCGAAGACGAUCAGAUACCGUCGUAGUCUUAACCAUAAACUAUGCCGACUAGGGAUCGGAUGAUGUUAAUUUUUUAAUGACUCAUUCGGCGCCUUACG
rnacentral:rRNA from 1 species